rnacentral:rRNA from 1 species
AGCGAACGCUGGCGGCAGGCUUAACACAUGCAAGUCGAGCGGGCAUCUUCGGAUGUCAGCGGCAGACGGGUGAGUAACACGUGGGAACGUACCCUUCGGUUCGGAACAACUCUGGGAAACUGGAGCUAAUACCGGAUACGCCCUUAUGGGGAAAGGUUUACUGCCGAAGGAUCGGCCCGCGUCUGAUUAGCUAGUUGGUGGGGUAACGUCCUACCAAGGCGACGAUCUGUAGCUGGUCUGAGAGGAUGAUCAGCCACACUGUGACUGAGACACGGCCCAGACUCCUACGGGAGGCAGCAGUGGGGAAUAUUGGACAAUGGGCGAAAGCCUGAUCCAGCCAUGCCGCGUGAGUGAUGAAGGCCUUAGGGUUGUAAAGCUCUUUUGUCCGGGACGAUAAUGACGGUACCGGAAGAAUAAGCCCCGGCUAACUUCGUG